rnacentral:lncRNA from 1 species
CUUUCUUGAUGCUGUAAUUAAGUAUAUUAUUUAUUCCAUACCCUUCAUGCAAUGAGUGACUUCUGCUAGCCUGCUUUUUGCAUGAUUUCCCUUUAGAGCUAAAACAGCUGGGAUAGUGAAAAAUAUAUUACUUGUCACCUCCCACCCCCAAUAUUGGCACAGUGUGUAAAGUACGAAAGCGAAAACACACAUGCAGCGUUCUAUCACAACGCUACGGGAGAAGCCUGAUGGAGAGGGGCUUGCGGAUGGGAGCGAGAGAAAACUACAUUUACAGUAAAUAAAAGCAUCACCCACAGAGGAUCUCUCAACUCAGUGACCUUUGAAGUUGCAAGGACACAUGGCCUAGACAGGUAAGGGAAUUACAUUACUCAUUAUUUUACAGUGGUUUGGGGCUGUGAAGCAUGCUUGUACAAGGAAAGAGCAGUUUGCAAAACUGUUUAAAAAGAACUG